AAACUAGCAAGAACUGGGGGUCUUCCAACAAUUCUUGAAGAAUCAGAAUCUGAAGAAUUGGAGACUCCGAAGACGGUACAAAAGCUAAAGCCAAUGAAGAUUGAAGACCAAAAAUUUGAGCGCAAAGAUCUCCUGGAUGGGAUUCACAAGGUUUACAAGAGCUACUCGGACAAAAUGCGAAAAUUGGAGAUCUUGAACUUCCAGACCAUGCACUCACUUGGCUUACUGCAGAUGAAAGAGACAGUUCAGUUUCAGACAGCUCGGAAAUCUUCUGUUACAGCUGUUAUCUCUCUUCUUUCGCAGAACUUAUGGUUGUGCAAAGGGACGGCGGUGGUUGAUCCAGUGAAGAAG
rnacentral:misc_RNA from 1 species